rnacentral:rRNA from 1 species
GACGAACGCUGGCGGCGUGCGUAACAAAUGCAAGUCGCGCGGAGCGGCGAACGGGUGAGUAACGCGUGAGUAACUGCCCCCCUCUCUGGGAUAACAGUUGGAAACGGCUGCUAAUAUCGGAUAGUGGGGGAUGACUCGCGUCCUAUCAGCUUGGUGGUGGGGUAUUGGCCUACCAAGGCGACUACGGGUAGCCGGCCUGAGAGGGCGACCGGCCACAUUGGGCUGAGAUACGGCCCAAACUCCUACGGGAGGAAGCAGUGGGGAAUAUUGCACAAUGGGGGAAACACUGAUGCAGCAACGCCGCGUGCGGGAUGACGGCCUUCGGGUUGUAAACCGAUUUCAGCCAUGACGCGGUAGUGGCAGAAGAGGCAACGGCUAACUACGUGCCAGCCGCCGCGGUAAUUC